GGGGGCGUGGUGUAACCGAAAGGCUGUACUAUCCUCGGUUGUCGUGCGUGAGACAACAUACCGGGAUCUGAACCCGGUGAUGCUGGUGCAAGUCCAGCCGCCUCCACCA
rnacentral:tRNA from 1 species